UGAGUACGAGAUGCUACGGCAUCGAAGCAGUCUAUGUCAUACUUCCAAGAAAAGCUUGCACUGUCAUAAACAAAGAAUGCCUGUACCAUAACCGACACAGGUGGGUAGGUAGAGUAUACUAAGGGGCGCGAGAUAACUCUCUCUAAGGAACUCGGCAAAAUGACUCCGUAACUUCGGGAGAAGGAGUGCCUUAUUUCUAAGGUUGCAAUAACAAGAUCCAAGCAACUGUUUACCAAAAACACAGGUCUCCGCUAAGUCGUAAGACGAUGUAUGGGGGCUGACGCCUGCCCAGUGCCAGAAGGUUAAAGAAGUUGGUUAGCAUUAGCGAAGCUGAUAACUGAAGCCCUGGUGAACGGCGGCCGUAACUAUAACGGUCCUAAGGUAGCGAAAUUCCUUGUCGGGUAAGUUCCGACCCGCACGGAAGGCGUAAUGAUUUGGAUACUGUCUCGGAGAGGGGCUCGGUGAAAUAGACUUGUCUAUGAAGAUGCGGACUACCUGCACCUGGACAGAAAGACCCUAUGAAGCUUUACUGUAACUUGAGAUUGAAAUUGGACUUUAUUUGCGCAGUAUAGGUGGGAGGCGUUGAGAAUAAUCUUGCGGGAUUGUUGGAGCCAUCAGUGAGAUACCACUCUUGUAAUGUUAGAUUUCUAACUUUGUAUCAUUAUCUGGUCAAAGAACAGUUUCAGGCGGGCAGUUUGACUGGGGCGGUCGCCUCCCAAAGGGUAGCGGAGGCGCACAAAGGUUUCCUCUGAACGGGUAGAAAUCGUAUCUAGAGUGUAAAGGCAUAAGGAAGCUUGACUGUGAGACCUACAAGUCGAGCAGGGACGAAAGUCGGUCUUAGUGAUCUGACGGUGCUGAGUGGAAAGGCCGUCACUCAACGGAUAAAAGUUACUCUAAGGAUAACAGGCUGAUCUCCCCCAAGAGUUCACAUCGACGGGGAGGUUUGGCACCUCGAUGUCGGCUCAUCGCAUCCUGGGGCGGUAGUCCGUCCCAAGGGUUGGGCUGUUCGCCCAUGAAAGCGGUACGCGAGCUGGUUCAGAACGUCGUGAGACAGUUCGGUCCAUAUCCGGUGUAGGCGUUAGAAUAUUGAGAGGAGCCUUCUCUAGUACGAGAGGACCGAGAAGGACAUACCUCUGGUGUACCAGUUAUCGUGCCAACGGUAAACGCUGGGUAGCUAUGUAUGGAGUGGAUAACCGCUGAAAGCAUCUAAGUGGGAAGCCCACCUCAAGAUAAGUAUUCUG
rnacentral:rRNA from 1 species